ensembl:lncRNA novel transcript
AUAGGAACAGCUCCGGUCUACAGCUCCCAGCGUGAGCGACGCAGAAGACGGGUGAUUUCUGCAUUUCCAUCUGAGGAUGAUUAACAGCAUUCAAGGUGGUGGCUACACAUCACAUCAGCCUGGAUUCUCAAGUAGGAAGAUACGCAACAGAGCAUCCAGCUGACCUUCACUGGAUAUGUUGUAUGAACAAGAACAUGCAGCAAUAUGGUGGGGACGCAUACUACAGCUGAGCUCUGGACAGGAAGUUUUCCAUUUUAUGAGAAACUCAAACCACCAAGAAAACCAGCUUAUCUCACAAAAUAUUUUUAUACUUCUCUAGAACUCAGUAAGAGGCCCUCAACGGAUUGGAUGAUGCCUCUCCACGGUCCACAUCGGUGAGGGUGAUUGUCUUUACUCAGCCUAUUGAUUCAAACACUAAUCUCUUCUGGAAACACUCUCAGACUCACCCAGAAGUAAUGUUUGGCCAGCCAUCGGAGCAUCCUCUGGCUUAGUCAAGUUAACACAUAGAAUUAACCAUCACAGAAGGCAACAGAAAAACCUUUAAAGAAUCAAUAGAAAAUAUGUGCAUCAGAAAAUAUUGCUGGCUUACCCAAAAGCUAUUUCCCUUUUGUUCCUUACUAACAACUCUUACUUUGUUUAUAUUUGAGGAAGUAAUGUACUUAAGGAAGUUUUGUCUCUAACCCAGCAUUCAAGAAUGCGAAGACAAUCACGUUAAUCCCAUUUCCUCUACCAGUGAUUGGUGUGGAGGUGGGCAUAUCACUCACUUAUAACCAAAAG